AAUUUUGGACAAUGGGGGAAACCCUGAUCCAGCCAUCCCGCGUGUGUGAUGAAGGCCUUCGGGUUGUAAAGCACUUUUGACAGGGAAGAAAUGACAGGAGCUAAUAACUUCUGUAGAUGACGGUACCUGUAGAAUCAGCACCGGCUAACUACGUGCCAGCAGCCGCGGUAAUACGUAGGGUGCAAGCGUUAAUCGGAAUUACUGGGAGUAAAGGGUACGCAGGCGGCUAGGAAAGAAAGAUGUGAAAUCCCAGGGCUCAACCUUGGAACUGCAUUUUUAACUGCCGAGCUAGAGUAUGUCAGAGGGGGGUAGAAUUCCGCGUGUAGCAGUGAAAUGCGUAGAUAUGCGGAGGAACACCGAUGGCGAAGGCAGCCUCCUGGGAUAACACUGACGCUCAUGCACGAAAACGUGGGGAGCAAACA
rnacentral:rRNA from 1 species